rnacentral:rRNA from 1 species
CCAAUAGCGUAUAUUAAAGUUGUUGCAGUUAAAACGCUCGUAGUUGAAUUUCGGGGUUAGUAGGUUGGUCAUGCCUCUGGUAUGUACUGGUCUCACUGAUUCCUCCUUCCUUAUGAACCGUAAUGCCAUUAAUUUGGUGUUGCGGGAAAUUUGGACUGUUACUUUGAAAAAAUUAGAGUGUUUACAGCAAGCUAACGCUUGAAUACAUUAGCAUGGAAUAAUGAAAUAGGACGUUCGAUCUUAUUUUGUUGGUUUCUAGGAUUGACGUAAUGAUUAAUAGGGAUAGUUGGGGGCAUUAGUAUUCAAUUGUCAGAGGUGAAAUUCUUGGAUUUAUUGAAGACUAACUACUGCGAAAGCAUUUGCCAAGGAUGUUUUCAUUAAUCAAGAACGAAAGUUAGGGGAUCGAAGACGAUCAGAUACCGUCGUAGUCUUAACCAUAAACUAUGCCGACUAGGGAUCGGAUGAUGUUAAUUUUUUAAUGACUCAUUCGGCGCCUUACG